rnacentral:rRNA from 1 species
GUGUCAGCCGCCGCGGUAAUACGGAGGGUGCAAGCGUUAAUCGGAAUUACUGGGCGUAAAGCGCACGUAGGUGGUUUUGUAAGUCGGAUGUGAAAGCCCUGGGCUUAACCUGGGAAUUGCAUUCGAUACUGCUUGACUAGAGUAUGGUAGAGGGAAGUGGAAUUUCCGGUGUAGCGGUGAAAUGCGUAGAUAUCGGAAGGAACACCAGUGGCGAAGGCGACUUCCUGGGCCAAUACUGACACUGAGGUGCGAAAGCGUGGGUAGCAAACAGGAUUAGAUACCCUGGUAGUCCACGCCGUAAACGAUGAGAACUAGAUGUUGGGAGGGUUGCCUCCCGGUGUCGCAGCUAACGCGUUAAGUUCUCCGCCUGGGGAGUACGCCGGCAACGGUAAA